ensembl:snRNA U6 U6 spliceosomal RNA
GUGGUCCCUUCAGCAGCAUAUAGACUAAAAUUGGAACAAUGGAAGAUUAGCAUGGGCCUUGUGCAAGGAUGACAUGUAAAUUCCUGAAGCGUUCCAUAUUUUU